GCUGGGAUAGCUCAGUCAGUACAGCAUGAGACUUAAUCUCAGGGUUGUGGGUUUGAGCCUCAUGUUGAGCG